UACGAAGGGGGCUAGCGUUGUUCGGAAUUGACUGGGCGUAAAGCGCACGUAGGCGGAAUGUUAAGUCAGGGGUGAAAUCCCGGGCUCAACCCGGAACUGCCUUUGAUACUGGCAUUCUCGAGUCCGGAAGAGGUGAGUGGAAUUCCUGGUGUAGACGGUGAAAUGCGUAGAUAUUGGGAGGAACACCAGUGGCGAAGGCGCUACCUGGACCGGUUCUGACGGCUGAUGCGCGAAAGCGUGGGUAGCAAACAGG
rnacentral:rRNA from 1 species